rnacentral:rRNA from 1 species
CAGCCGCCACGGUAAUACGAAGGGGGCUAGCGUUGUUCGGAAUUACUGGGCGUAAAGCGCACGUAGGCGGAUCGAUCAGUCAGGGGUGAAAUCCCAGGGCUCAACCCUGGAACUGCCUUUGAUACUGUCGAUCUGGAGUAUGGAAGAGGUGAGUGGAAUUCCGAGUGUAGAGGUGAAAUUCGUAGAUAUUCGGAGGAACACCAGUGGCGAAGGCGGCUCACUGGUCCAUUACUGACGCUGAGGUGCGAAAGCGUGGGGAGCAAACAGGAUUAGAUACCCGCGUAGUCCCUGUCUCUUAUAA